AUGGAACGAGAUCCAACACCACUUCACCGUGCUGCAAAGGAGUUGAUCAAUAUGCAGAUGGAUACAGGAGAAUUUCCACAGCAAGAACACGUCGGAUGCCUCAACUGCUCCCUUUUCUUCAAUUACCCCAACUACCGCAACCUGUUCCCCAUCUGGGCUCUCGGGGAGUACCGGCGCCGCCUUUGCUCGAAAAGCACAGGUGGGUGUGCGCCAUCGUCGUGA
rnacentral:rRNA from 1 species